GAUGAACGCUAGCGGCAGGCCUAACACAUGCAAGUCGAGGGGUAGCAGGAUUAAGCUUGCUUAAUUGCUGACGACCGGCGCACGGGUGCGUAGCGCGUAUGCAACCUACCUUAUACUGGGGUAUAGCCCGGAGAAAUUCGGAUUAAUCCCCCAUAGUACUAAUGAAUCGCAUGGUUUAUUAGUUAAAGCAUUGCGGUAUAAGAUGGGCAUGCGUCCUAUUAGCUAGAUGGUGAGGUAACGGCUCACCAUGGCUACGAUGGGUAGGGGGCCUGAGAGGGUGGUCCCCCACACUGGUACUGAGACAAGGACCAGACUCCUACGGGAGGCAGCAGUGAGGAAUAUUGGUCAAUGGGCGCAAGCCUGAACCAGCCAUGCCGCGUGCAGGAAGACGGCCCUACGGGUUGUAAACUGCUUUUGUACGGGAAUAAUUCCUAUUAUGUAUAAUAGGUUGAAUGUACCGUAAGAAUAAGGAUCGGCUAACUCCGUGCCAGCAGCAGCCGCCG
rnacentral:rRNA from 1 species